UACGAAGGGGGCUAGCGUUGUUCGGAAUUACUGGGCGUAAAGCGCGCGCAGGUGGUCUUUCAAGUCAGUGGUGAAAGCCCGGAGCUCAACUCCGGAAAUGCCAUUGAAACUGUAAGACUUGAGGAUGAGAGAGGUGAGUGGAAUUCCCAGUGUAGAGGUGAAAUGCGUAGAUAUCGGGAGGAACACCAGUGGCGAAGGCGACUUCCUGGCCUGUUCUUGACGCUGAGGCGCGAAAGCUAGGGUAGCAAACGGG
rnacentral:rRNA from 1 species